CUCUGCACUGAGCAAGUUCUGUUCUGCCCUGAGCUGCUUAUUGACCAGAGCCUGACGGCAAAUGGCAGGAAAACAAUACUGCAGAAUCCCACUUGGAGAACAAAGACUACCCUCACACUAGAACCAAGCUUCAAGAACAAAACUGCUAAACUCACUCAUUUCAGGUCACUACAGGCUUGGAGAAGUUUCACAACAAUAAGGUUGUCUAUAUUCCAUCUGCAGGCAAAGGGAAGAGAAAAGCAUUUCUAAAAGCUGGUUCAUCCCAUCCUGACUGUUUAAUGCAGGAUAACCACAAAAAGGGGUGCAGUGCAAAUGAUGUUUCUGAUCAGCAACAGGUAACACUGCCAGCCAUUGGAUCUUGCUGAAUAUCCACCCAGAGGAUCACCAACAUCUUGGCAAUCUCAUGAGCAAUACUUCAAAGCACAGACUGGCAUGGCACCUUAAGGGUUCAAAUGGUUUGGAAGUGAAAUCGCUUCCAUGGUUUCUGUGAUUUGCAUGUGAAAUUGAUUUUAUUGGAUUUAUUUGAUCAGGAAGCAGAAGUGUUUCCCCAAGGAGUACAAAUAAACACGUUACUAGAAACUGAGUAGAUGUGAUGAACCAUAAAUCUGGGAAGCAGUGGCUGAAUGUUAGCAAAUUUUACAUAACUGCAGUUAUUUUAUAAGGUUUUGAUUUCCUGUAUCAGUUCAUGUUAGAGAAAACCACAACACUUUUAAAGGACAAAUUGAAUGAAAUUCUGGUGGAUGCCAAACCCCAUCAUUUUCAGAAGUACAUUCCUGGCUUUGAAAUCUAUUAAUAUUUUGUACUUGAAACCUAGAGACAUUGCUUCCUCUGACUGAUUAAUAAUUUUCUUUGAAAUGCUAACAUUUAUUAUUUAUCACUGAUCCCUAUUUAAAAGCCCAUUUUUCUCCUUCAGUUAUGACAGUGGAAAGCUCAAAUCUCUUACAACGAAGCCUGUAGUCCUCAGCAGCUCUAAUUGCUUGGUUUUGGUCUGUACCCUCCCUUGCAAUGCAGUGUCUUUAUACAGACAAAACGAAGCAGUACCAGCUGCUGAUGCCCCUGCCAGGCCCUGAGUGGGGAUGUCACACCCCUUGAAGCGAGCUAGGUGAUCCUUAGUGCGUCACCUUCUCACCUCACACCUUCUGUGAUGCCUCUUGUGACCAUGCUAUCAGCUUAAAUGUCCUGAAAAUUACUUUUUUUCCCACUUCUCAUUUCAUAGAAUAAGUAAUGGGAACUUCAAAUGCCCACUUGUUGUGGGCUCCCAUAAUGUCUGUGUGGCUUUGUCUUUUUUUAAAGCCCAUCAGCUCUCCUGGAGCUGCAAGGAGAGGCCAGCUCCAGAGGUCACUUUCAAGCAGAACUGGCUUUUAAUGGCAGAAAAAAUAAGUAGACUGUCAUUAAUUCCUUUCUUAUAAAAAGGAAUUAAUCUCACCUAAAUUUAGUUGGUAAAAAUUAGGUUUCUGGUCCCAGUCUGUUGGCCAGAUCCUUUUCUGGUCAGUGGAGAAGGACAUGCUCUUCCAGAGGCUGAUUUAGUAAGACAAGUCUUGUUCUUGUUUCUUUGUCAAAAAUUUUUUUGAGCUAGGAGUAAUUUUUUUUUUUAAUCAUAGCUGUCUACCAGUUCAAUGUGCAGGAUGAUAAACUGCUUUCAACCGCUAUAAAACAAAUUAAUCAGCCCAGUGUUAGUUCUUAUAUAUGAGUUUGUUCUAAGGAGGAGCCAAAGAUUCCAAAGUUUCAGUGUUACACAAGUCCUUCAAUAAGAUGUGCAGAACUAAACCACAGGUAAUUAGACUUUAAAUUAUCGAAUUUUUUACUAUUCAAGAUGAAAUAUUUUCUUAUGUUUAGAUUUCCAGUUUAGGGGAAAAAUUACUAUUAUUUGCAAGGUCCAAAAUCAAGGCUAAUGUAGCAAGCAAAGUAAAAAAUUCUACAAUUAAAAUUGACACAGUUAUUUAAUGGAAAGAAUUUUGGUUUGGAAAAGUAUCAUUAUUUGCAUAUUUUUUUUCUAUUCACAUAAACAUACAAAAACUCAAGAAAAUAUUCUUGUUGGCCAGGAUGAAGAGUUCUCACAUAAGAAUAGGUAUUACUCUUUGUGACUGUUAGAGUCUUUAAUUGGUGUAUGUAAUUUCAGUUGCUUAGUAACAACAACUUAAGAAUUUCCACACUUCUCUGUGUUUAAAAUCUCAACCUAAAAAUCAGAAAUCUCUUUAGAAAAACAUCCAAAGCAAAAAG